rnacentral:rRNA from 1 species
UACGUAGGGUGCGAGCGUUGUCCGGAAUUAUUGGGCGUAAAGAGCUCGUAGGCGGUUUGUUGCGUCGGCCGUGAAAACCUGCAGCUUAACUGUGGGCCUGCGGUCGAUACGGGCAGACUUGAGUUCGGUAGGGGAGACUGGAAUUCCUGGUGUAGCGGUGAAAUGCGCAGAUAUCAGGAGGAACACCGGUGGCGAAGGCGGGUCUCUGGGCCGAUACUGACGCUGAGGAGCGAAAGCGUGGGGAGCGAACAGG